rnacentral:rRNA from 1 species
GGCUCUUUGUACUAAUAAAAUAAAGAGUCCGGCCUGCUCAAUGAUGAUUUAUCAUUAAAUAGCUGCGGAAUCCUAACCGUGUGAAAGUAGCAUAAUCAUUUGCCUCUUAAUUGGUGGCUGGAAUGAAUGGUACGAUGAAAAUAGAGCUGUCUCUAGUGUGUUUUUUUGAAAUUACCUUUUAGGUGAAAAGGCCUAAAUGUAUCUAUAAGACAAGAAGACCCUAUCGAGCUUUAAGUUAGUUGUAUAAAUAAUUUAAUUGACUUUUGGUUGGGGCAACCAGGGGGCAUAAGAAAUCCCUCUUUUUAAUAAAUUACUAACUAGUAAAGAUCCAGUUAUAUUGAUCAGGGGA